rnacentral:rRNA from 1 species
GAUGAACGCUAGCGAUAGGCUUAACACAUGCCAGUCGAGGGGCAGCACAAGGUAGCUUGCUCUCUGGGUGGCGACCGGCGCACGGGUGCGUAACGCGUAUGCAACUUGCCCUAUACAGGAGGAUAACCCGUCGAAAGACGGACUAAUACUGCGUAUGCUCACAACUUGGCAUCAAGUGGUGAGGAAAGAAAUUCGGUAUAGGAUAGGCACGCGUCCCAUUAGCUUGUUGGUGAGGUAACGGCUCACCAAGGCAACGAUGGGUAGGGGAACUGAGAGGUUUAUCCCCCACACUGGUACUGAGACACGGACCAGACUCCUACGGGAGGCAGCAGUGAGGAAUAUUGGUCAAUGGGCGCGAGCCUGAACCAGCCAAGUCGCGUGAAGGAUGACUGUCUUAUGGAUUGUAAACUUCUUUUAUACGGGAAUAACAAGAGUCACGUGUGACUCCCUGCAUGUACCGUAUGAAUAAGCAUCGGCUAACUCCGUG